UGGGAAGAUAUAGAAUUGCUUCAUAAACUGAAAAUAAAAUUUUUAGACGAUGACCUGCAUUUUCAGUUUAUGAAGCAAUUCUAUAUCUUCCC